rnacentral:lncRNA from 1 species
GAAAAGGAGAGAAACGUGCCCCCCCCCCGCCUUUUUUGCAGACAUGAAAGAAACUCCAUAUAGUGUUUACACAUUAUUCAGCAAUGGACUAGAAUUGGUGCAUCCUCCUCGUGUGUUACUCAAGUUAUUUAUAAUGUGGUUGCAAAAUCCCAGCUAGGAACAAAAAGUCAGAUUUUUGGUAAACAUCGAUUAAGCUGUGGCCUCUUGUACUCAUUUCUCCUAUAGAGGAAAAUAGAGCCCCAAGAAAGAUCACGUCCUUGCCUCCUUUUGCUGGUAGAGGGCACUUAACAGUCAGAUGCUUAAAGGGAAAACAUGAAUAUAUUUUAUGUGCAUUUGAAAUAGAUAUUAACUGAAUGCUGCAGGUGAUAUGGCAGCUGGGAAUGCAGGAGAAAAAUACUGAAAACUGCUGCCAUUUAUUGAGUGCCUAUUCUCUGCCUGGCUCCUGGAAUAAUGAUAACAAUAUUUAACAUAUAAUACAGCAUGAGCAUCAUCCAGUUGGAGUGGAUGCCAGCCGAAAACACAACUGAUUUAAUGACAUCACCUUGGCCAACAUUCAGGAAUUCAGAACUCUAAGUUACCCUGAACUAUCUAAAAACGAAAAUGGAAAGAUAAUUCUGCUUCAUGUCUGGUGUACUCCAACUGUGGAUAAGGUGCCCUUCAGGGCCUUAAAGGACAGGAACAAAGUAUGGCAGUUUGUCAUCAGAGCUCCAGGAAGCCACGAGGAAACUGAGCUUAGGAACCAAAUUGCUCAAAAUGGGAAAGAAAUGAAGAGAUGUACAGCAGAUGCUCUCAGCCUGGAAGUGUAACCUUCGGGAAGAAGGAACCACCAGUCAUGCUAAUUGGUCUUGAACAAGGCUUGUUUGCGCUGAGAGAUGAGAGAGAGCACCCCAUUUCUUCCUGAUUCAGUUCUGUAGACAUCUUUCUGGGAUUUGCAAUUGAUAAUUAUAGACACAGAGAUACACUUGGCCUAAUUUGCCAGCCUAUUUGGAGUCAUGAGUGUCACCCUGUAUGUCUGGUAUAUGUGCAGAUGGUUUCUGGCGGCUUCAAUAAAAUCAGAAAACACAAAAUCUCUAUUUUUUUUUUCCAGACAAUUGAAAGGGGCUGGUUGUCAGUGUCCUGGGUGUUGAAAUGAAAAAUAUUAUGCUGAUUUUUUAGAAGUGUUCCUUAUGCUUAUAGACCCAUAAUUUCACUACACUCUGUUAUCUAGGCUAAGUGUAGGGGUGAGGAAGUAGAGUCAAUCAAUACUGGUAUCAGGUUGGAAUUAGUGAAUGCUUUAACGCAGUACAUAUAAUUUCUGAUUUCCAUUUGUAAACUGA